rnacentral:rRNA from 1 species
CAGCACCUCAAGUGGUCAGGAUGAUUAUUGGGCCUAAAGCAUCCGUAGCCGGCUCUGUCAGUUUUCGGUUAAAUCUGUAUGCUCAACAUACAGGCUGCCGGGAAUACUGCAGAGCUAGGGAGUGGGAGAGGUAGACGGUACUCGGUAGGAAGGGGUAAAAUCCUUUGAUCUAUUGAUGACCACCUGUGGCGAAGGCGGUCUACCAGAACACGUCCGACGGUGAGGGAUGAAAGCUGGGGGAGCAAACCGGAUUAGAGACCCGAGUAGUCC